GUGGGGAAUAUUGCACAAUGGGCGCAAGCCUGAUGCAGCAACGCCGCGUGAGGGACGACGGCCUUCGGGUUGUAAACCUCUUUUAGUAGGGAAGAAGCGAAAGUGACGGUACCUGCAGAAAAAGCACCGGCUAACUACGUGCCAGCAGCCGCGGUAAUACGUAGGGUGCAAGCGUUGUCCGGAAUUAUUGGGCGUAAAGAGCUCGUAGGCGGUUUGUCGCGUCUGCUGUGAAAACUGGGGGCUCAACCCCCAGCCUGCAGUGGGUACGGGCAAACUAGAGUGCGGUAGGGGAGAUUGGAAUUCCUGGUGUAGCGGUGGAAUGCGCAGAUAUCAGGAGGAACACCGAUGGCGAAGGCAGAUCUCUGGGCCGUAACUGACGCUGAGGAGCGAAAGCGUGGGGAGCGAACAGGAUUAGAAACCCCGGUAGUCC
rnacentral:rRNA from 1 species